rnacentral:rRNA from 1 species
CCUACGGGUGGCAGCAGUGAGGAAUAUUGGUCAAUGGACGCGAGCCUGAACCAGCCAAGUAGCGUGCAGGAUGACUGCCCUAUGGGUUGUAAACUUCUUUUAUACGGGAGUAAAGUGCGGCACGUGUGCCUUUUUGUAUGUACCUUAUGAAUAAGGAUCGGCUAACUCCGUGCCAGCAGCCGCGGUAAUACGGAGGAUCCGAGCGUUAUCCGGAUUUAUUGGGUUUAAAGGGAGCGUAGACGGGUUGUUAAGUUAGUUGUGAAAGUUUGUGGCUCAACCCUGAAAUUGCAACUAAUACUGGUAGUCUUGAGUAUAGUUGAGGUAGGCGGAAUGCGUGGUGUAGCGGUGAAAUGCUUAGAGAUCACGAAGAACACCGAUUGCGAAGGCAGCUUACCAAACUGUAACUGACGUUGAUGCUCGAAAGUGUGGGUAUCAAACAGGAUUAGAUACCCGGGUAGUC